GCCUUCGUGGUGUAGUGGUCAGCACACUCGGCGCGUAUUCGAGAGGUCCAUGGUUCGAGUCCCAGCGAGGACA
rnacentral:tRNA from 1 species